GGGGAAUAUUGCACAAUGGGCGCAAGCCUGAUGCAGCGACGCCGCGUGAGGGAUGAAGGCCUUCGGGUUGUAAACCUCUUUCGUCAGGGAAGAAGCGAAAGUGACGGUACCUGAAGAAGAAGCACCGGCUAACUACGUGCCAGCAGCCGCGGUAAUACGUAGGGUGCGAGCGUUGUCCGGAAUUAUUGGGCGUAAAGAGCUUGUAGGCGGUUUGUCGCGUCUGCCGUGAAAACCUAGGGCUUAACUCUGGGCGUGCGGUGGGUACGGGCAGGCUAGAGUGUGGUAGGGGAGACUGGAAUUCCUGGUGUAGCGGUGAAAUGCGCAGAUAUCAGGAGGAACACCGAUGGCGAAGGCAGGUCUCUGGGCCAUAACUGACGCUGAGAAGCGAAAGCAUGGGGAGCGAAC
rnacentral:rRNA from 1 species